GUAGGUGGGAAGCGUUAUCCGGAAUUAUUGGGCGUAAAGCGCGCGCAGGCGGUUCUUUAAGUCUGAUGUGAAAGCCCACGGCUCAACCGUGGAGGGUCAUUGGAAACUGGAGAACUUGAGUACAGAAGAGGAAAGCGGAAUUCCACGUGUAGCGGUGAAAUGCGUAGAGAUGUGGAGGAACACCAGUGGCGAAGGCGGCUUUCUGGUCUGUAACUGACGCUGAGGCGCGAAAGCGUGGGGAGCAAACAGGGAUUAGAUACCCUGGUAGUCCACGCCGUAAACGAUGAGUGCUAAGUGUUAGGGGGUUUCCGCCCCCUUAGUGCUGCAGCUAACGCAUUAAGCACUCCGCCUGGGGAUACGGCCGCAAGGCUG
rnacentral:rRNA from 1 species